rnacentral:rRNA from 1 species
UCUGGUGCAAGUGCGUAGGCCGAGCUGUAGGCAAAUCCGCAGCUCACAUAGGCUGAGACACGAUGCGGAUAAAAAGUGGGUGAUCCUAUGCUGCCAAGAAAAGCAUCGACGCGAGGUUCCAGCCGCCCGUACCCCAAACCGACUCAGGUGGUCAGGUAGAGAAUACCAAGGAGAUCGAGAGAAUCGUGGUUAAGGAACUCGGCAAAAUGCCCCCGUAACUUCGGGAGAAGGGGGGCCUUCGACGUAUUAGGACUUGCUCCGAAAGCGUUUGGAGGCCGCAGAGACUAGUGGGUAGCGACUGUUUACUAAAAACACAGGUCCGUGCCAAGUCGCAAGACGAUGUAUACGGACUGACGCCUGCCCGGUGCUGGAAGGUUAAGAGGACCGGUUAGCCGCAAGGCGAAGCUGAGAAUUUAAGCCCCAGUAAACGGCGGUGGUAACUAUAACCAUCCUAAGGUAGCGAAAUUCCUUGUCGGGUAAGUUCCGACCUGCACGAAUGGCGUAACGACUUCCCAACUGUCUCAACCGCGAACUCGGCGAAAUUGCAUUACGAGUAAAGAUGCUCGUUACGCGCAGCAGGACGGAAAGACCCCGUGACCUUUACUAUAGUUUGGUAUUGGUGUUCGGUGUGGCUUGUGUAGGAUAGGUGGGAGACUUUGAAGCUUGGACGCUAGUUCAGGUGGAGUCAUUGUUGAAAUACCACUCUGGUCACUCUGGAUAUCUAACUUAGAACCGUAAUCCGGUUCAGGGACAGUGCCUGAUGGGUAGUUUAACUGGGGCGGUUGCCUCCCAAAAAGUAACGGAGGCGCCCAAAGGUUCCCUCAACCUGGUUGGCAAUCAGGUGUCGAGUGUAAGUGCACAAGGGAGCUUGACUGUGAGACUGACAGGUCGAGCAGGGACGAAAGUCGGGACUAGUGAUCCGGCAGUGGCUUGUGGAAGCGCUGUCGCUCAACGGAUAAAAGGUACCUCGGGGAUAACAGGCUGAUCUUGCCCAAGAGUCCAUAUCGACGGCAUGGUUUGGCACCUCGAUGUCGGCUCGUCGCAUCCUGGGGCUGGAGUAGGUCCCAAGGGUUGGGCUGUUCGCCCAUUAAAGCGGUACGCGAGCUGGGUUUAGAACGUCGUGAGACAGUUCGGUCCCUAUCCGCUGCGCGCGCAGGAAAUUUGAGAGGAUCUGACCCUAGUACGAGAGGACCGGGUUGGACGAACCUCUGGUGUGUCAGUUGUUCCGCCAGGAGCACCGCUGAUUAGCUACGUUCGGGAUGGAUAACCGCUGAAAGCAUCUAAGCGGGAAGCCGGCCUCAAGAUGAGAUUUCCAUGCCUUCGGGCGAGAGGCUCCCAGCCAGACUACUGGGUUGAUAGGCCGGAUGUGGAAGCGUGGCAACACGUGAAGCUGACCGGUACUAAUAAGCCGAUGAUUCGAA